UCAAAGGAAGUGAUGAACAAACGAUUUCGUGAGUUUUUGGAUGAGUCGACGCCGAUCUCGUGGUCGUGGACAGACGUUCAACCACCACCGCCGUUGUUUCUGUACCGGAGGUAGUCGAAAUCGGAGAGGAGAAGAAGGGUUUAGAUUCGAUUCAGAUUCAGCCGGCGAGAACAUGGCACACUGGCGAUUUCUCCGCGGGCUCUUCUCGCCGGCCGGGGAUGAGCCUCCGUAUGCCGGAAGGAUGGCCACCGUGGCUGAUUUCUGCUUGCGGCGAUUCGAUCAAAGACUUAACACCUCGCAGAGCCACCACAUACGAAAAGCUCGAGAAGAUUGGGCAAGGAACUUAUAGUAAUGUGUACAAGGCGAAAAAUUUAUUGACUGGGAAGAUUGUAGUUUUGAAGAAAGUUAGGUUUGAUAAUUUGGAAGCAGAGAGUGAUUCAUGGCUAGAGAGAUUCUUGUGUUGCGACGGCUUAAUCAUCCUAAUGUUUGGUUACUUUGCGGGUUUCCUGUAGUCUCUACCUUGUUUUUGAGUAUAUGGAGCAUGAUCUUUCUGGUCUUUCUGCUACUCAAGGUCUCAAGUUUGAUCUUCCACAGAGAAGGUAGUAGGAAAAAGAAAGGUUAUGGUGAUGGAGAUUGGAUUUGUACCAACGUACGAGGAUAAAGAUGGAGAUUGGAUGUUGGUUGGUGAUGUUCCAUGGGACAUGUUCUCUUCUUCCUGUAAAAGACUCGGAAUCAUGAAAGGAUGCUCCUGCUCUAGACUCUUCCUUAUGAUCUACAGAAGAUGAGAAGCUUUUGUUUAAAGGAGAUGAUGACUAUGAUCGAUGAUCUCCUUUUUUGUAUAAUACGGACAUAUACAAUUUAUAAAUGUUCUUUUUAUAAAUCGUCUCUAGUGAUGUUCUUUUUGUUUUUGUAUUUAGAUUUGAAGCAGUUUGAUGUAAAGAUACAUGAGGUUUUUGGUAUAAUACGGACAUAUACAAUCUGUAAAUGUACGUAUUAAGUAGCAAUGUUCUAUAAGAUCAGUUUCUAUUCUUGAUCA